rnacentral:rRNA from 1 species
AGAACGAACGCUGGCGGCAUGCCUAAUACAUGCAAGUCGAACGAACACUUCGGUGUUAGUGGCGCACGGGUGCGUAACGCGUGGGAAUCUGCCCUUGGGUUCGGAAUAACAGUUGGAAACGACUGCUAAUACCGGAUGAUAUCGAAAGAUCAAAGAUUUAUCGCCCAGGGAUGAGCCCGCGUAGGAUUAGCUAGUUGGUGAGGUAAAGGCUCACCAAGGCGACGAUCCUUAGCUGGUCUGAGAGGAUGAUCAGCCACACGUGGGACUGAGACACGGCCCAGACCUCCUACGGGAGCAG